rnacentral:rRNA from 1 species
GUGAGGAAUAUUGGUCAAUGGGCGAGAGCCUGAACCAGCCAAGUCGCGUGAAGGAUGAAGGUUUUAUGAAUUGUAAACUUCUUUUGCAGGGGAAUAAAGUACGGUACGUGUACCGUUUUGUAUGUACUCUGCGAAUAAGGAUCGGCUAACUCCGUGCCAGCAGCCGCGGUAAUACGGAGGAUCCGAGCGUUAUCCGGAUUUAUUGGGUUUAAAGGGUGCGUAGGUGGUUUGAUAAGUCAGCGGUGAAAGUUUGCAGCUUAACUGUAAAAAUGCCGUUGAAACUGUCGGACUUGAGUGUAAAUGAGGUAGGCGGAAUGCGUGGUGUAGCGGUGAAAUGCAUAGAUAUCACGCAGAACUCCGAUUGCGAAGGCAGCUUACUAAGCUACAACUGACACUGAAGCACGAAAGCGUGGGGAUCAAACAGGAUUAGAAACCCGUGUAGUCC